CCUACGGGGGACAGCAGUGGGGAAUAUUGGGCAAUGGGCGCAAGCCUGACCCAGCAACGCCGCGUGAAGGAAGAAGGCUUUCGGGUUGUAAACUUCUUUUGUCAGGGACGAAGCAAGUGACGGUACCUGACGAAUAAGCCACCGCUAACUACGUGCCAGCAGCCGCGGUAAUACGUAGGGGGCAAGCGUUAUCCGGAUUUACUGGGUGUAAAGGGCGUGUAGGCGGGGAGGAAAGUCAGAUGUGAAAACCACGGGCUCAACCUGUGGCCUGCAUUUGAAACUGGUUUUCUUGAGUACUGGAGAGGCAGACGGAAUUCCUAGUGUAGCGGUGAAAUGCGUAGAUAUUAGGAGGAACACCAGUGGCGAAGGCGGUCUGCUGGACAGCAACUGACGCUGAGGCGCGAAAGCGUGGGGAGCAAACAGGAUUAGAUACCCGGGUAGUC
rnacentral:rRNA from 1 species